rnacentral:rRNA from 1 species
CACGUAGUUAGCCGGGACUUCUUAGUCAGGUACCGUCUUUUUUCUUCCCUGCUGAUAGAAGUUUACAUACCGAAAUACUUCUUCCUUCACGCGGCGUCGCUGUAUCAGGGUUUCCCCCAUUGUGCAAUAUUCCCCACUGCUGCCUCCCGUAGGAGUCUGGACCGUGUCUCAGUUCCAAUGUGGCCGUUCACCCUCUCAGGCCGGCUACUGAUCGCUGACUUGGUAGGCCCCUACCCACAACUAUCUAAUCAGACGCGGGCCCAUCCUGUACCGUCUCGGCUUUUCACACUGUAACAUGCGUUACUGUGCGCUUAUGGGGUAUUAGCAGCUGUUCCGGCUGUUCGUCCCCCUGUACAGGGCAGGUUGCCCACGCGUUACUCACCCGUCCGCCACUAAGUCGCUUACUUCCUUCCUCCCGAAGGUAUUUAGUUGUAAGCGCUUCGUUCAACUUGCAUGUGUUAGGCACGCCGCAGCGUUCAUCCUGACGCCAGGAUACUAAAACUCCUCGUACGAGACUCGCCAAAC